AUUGAACGCUGGCGGCAUGCCUUACACAUGCAAGUCGAACGGUAACGGACCUUCGGGUGCCGACGAGUGGCGAACGGGUGAGUAAUGUAUCGGAACGUACCUUUCAGUGGGGGAUAACGUAGCGAAAGUUACGCUAAUACCGCAUAUUCUGUGCGCAGGAAAGCAGGGGAUCGCAAGACCUUGCGCUGAUUGAGCGGCCGAUAUCAGAUUAGCUAGUUGGUGAGGUAAAGGCUCACCAAGGCGACGAUCUGUAGCGGGUCAGAGAGGAUGAUCCGCCACACUGGAACUGAGACACGGUCCAGACUCCUACGGGAGGCAGCAGUGGGGAAUUUUGGACAAUGGGGGCAACCCUGAUCCAGCCAUGCCGCGUGAGUGAAGAAGGCCUUCGGGUUGUAAAGCUCUUUCGGCCGGGAAGAAAUCGCACGGGCUAAUACCCUGUGUGGAUGACGGUACCGGCAUAGGAAGCACCGGCUAACUACGUGCCAGCCGCCGCGGUAAGAC
rnacentral:rRNA from 1 species